rnacentral:tRNA from 1 species
CGGACAAAAGCCCGCUGGAUGGGGUGUUUAGCUGUUAACUAAAUUUUUGCGGGUUUGAGUCCCGCUUGUCUAG